rnacentral:rRNA from 1 species
AACGAACGCUGGCGGCGUGCCUAACACAUGCAAGUCGAACGCGAACGGGUCUUCGGACCCUAGUAGAGUGGCGCACGGGUGAGUAACACGUGGGCAAUCUACCCAGGGAUUUGGGAUAACCAGGGGAAACCCUGGCUAAUACCGAAUACGUCCACGAGGCCCUCGGUCCUCGUGGAGAAAGGUGGCCUCUUCUUGAAAGCUGCCGUUCCUGGAUGAGCCCGCGGACCAUUAGCUUGUUGGUGAGGUAACGGCUCACCAAGGCUGUGAUGGUUAGCUGGUCUGAGAGGAUGAUCAGCCACACUGGGACUGACACACGGCCCAGACUCCUACGGGAGGCAGCAGUGGGGAAUCUUGCGCAAUGGGGGAAACCCUGACGCAGCAACGCCGCGUGGGUGAUGAAGGCCCUUGGGUCGUAAAGCCCUGUCUGGAGGAAAGAAGCCCGCUCUCGCUAAUAUCGGGGGCGGAUGACGGUACCCCUGAAGGAAGCACCGGCUAACUCCGUGCCAGCAGCCG